GAAAUGCGAUACGCAAUGCGAAUUGCAGAAUCCGCGAGUCAUCAGAUCUUUGAACGCAAGUGGCGCCGAUUAUAUCGGCAUGUUUGUUUCAGUGUGGAAGGAAUCACAAAGCUAAAUGCGAUUGAUUUUCUGUAAAAAGGAAAUCUCUCGUUAAACAAGUCUGUUUCUCAACGGAGAACUAUGCUGUAUUAAUUUACGGCAUAACCUCCCUUCGCAACGAAGUAGUCUCAUGUAUUUUGAGAUCUCGCGGCGAAUCAAAGGGAUGGCGAAAGUACUCUAUUUUAUAAGAAACGCUUUUAAAACAACCUUUUCUACUACCACCUGAAAUCAAGCAAGACGACCCGCUGAACUUAA
rnacentral:misc_RNA from 1 species